AACAAACGGGAAGGAAGGCGGGCUGGAACCUCUCGGGGUUACAGCCUUGCUGAAUUAUUCACCCUUGUCUUUUGCGUACUUCUUGUUUCCUUGGUGGGUUCGCCCACCACUAGGACAAACAUAAACCUUUUGUAAUUGCAAUCAGCGUCAGUAACAAAUUAAUAAUUACAACUUUCAACAACGGAUCUCUUGGUUCUGGCAUCGAUGAAGAACGCAGCGAAAUGCGAUAAGUAGUGUGAAUUGCAGAAUUCAGUGAAUCAUCGAAUCUUUGAACGCACAUUGCGCCCUUUGGUAUUCCAAAGGGCAUGCCUGUUCGAGCGUCAUUUGUACCCUCAAGCUUUGCUUGGUGUUGGGCGUCUUGUCUCUAGCUUUGCUGGAGACUCGCCUUAAAGUAAUUGGCAGCCGGCCUACUGGUUUCGGAGCGCAGCACAAGUCGCACUCUCUAUCAGCAAAGGUCUAGCAUCCAUUAAGCCUUUUUUUCAACUCUUGACCUCGGAUCAGGUAGGGAUACCCGCUGAACUUAAGCAUAUCAAUAAAGCGGAGGAA
rnacentral:rRNA from 1 species